rnacentral:snoRNA from 1 species
UUGCUGUGAUGACCAAUUUAGGACACCAUUGGAUUAACCAUGAAGAAAAGUAAUUUUUAAGGAUUUUAUUUGAUUACUGUAGCAAC